CUUCAGUGCUGCAGCUAACGCAUUAAGCAUUCCGCCUGGGGAGUACGGCCGCAAGGCUGAAACUCAAAGGAAUUGACGGGGGCCCGCACAAGCGGUGGAGCAUGUGGUUUAAUUCGAAGCUACGCGAAGAACCUUACCAGGUCUUGACAUACUAUGCAAAUCUAAGAGAUUAGACGUUCCCUUCGGGGACAUGGAUACAGGUGGUGCAUGGUUGUCGUCAGCUCGUGUCGUGAGAUGUUGGGUUAAGUCCCGCAACGAGCGCAACCCUUAUUAUCAGUUGCCAGCAUUAAGUUGGGCACUCUGGUGAGACUGCCGGUGACAAACCGGAGGAAGGUGGGGAUGACGUCAAAUCAUCAUGCCCCUUAUGACCUGGGCUACACACGUGCUACAAUGGAUGGUACAACGAGUUGCGAACUCGCGAGAGUAAGCUAAUCUCUUAAAGCCAUUCUCAGUUCGGAUUGUAGGCUGCAACUCGCCUACAUGAAGUCGGAAUCGCUAGUAAUCGCGGAUCAGCAUGCCGCGGUGAAUACGUUCCCGGGCCUUGUACACACCGCCCGUCACACCAUGAGAGUUUGUAACACCCAAAGUCGGUGGGGUAACCUUUAGGAACCAGCCGCCUAAGGUGGGACAGAUGAUUAGGGUGAAGUCGUAACAAGGUAACCA
rnacentral:rRNA from 1 species